GACUACUGGGGUAUCUAAUCCUGUUUGCUCCCCACGCUUUCGCACCUCAGCGUCAAUACUUGUCCAGCGAGUCGCCUUCGCCACUGGUGUUCUUCCGAAUAUCUACGAAUUUCACCUCUACACUCGGAAUUCCACUCGCCUCUCCAAGAUUCUAGCUACCUAGUUUCAAAGGCAGUUCCGGGGUUGAGCCCCGGGCUUUCACCUCUGACUUGAGUAGCCGCCUACGUGCGCUUUACGCCCAGUAAUUCCGAACAACGCUAGCUCCCUCCGUAUUACCGCGGCUGCUGGCACGGAGUUAGCCGGAGCUUAUUCUCCAGGUACUGUCAUUAUCAUCCCUGGUAAAAGAGCUUUACGACCCUAAGGCCUUCAUCACUCACGCGGCAUUGCUGGAUCAGGCUUUCGCCCAUUGUCCAAUAUUCCCCACUGCUGCCUCCCGUAGG
rnacentral:rRNA from 1 species